CCUUGGUCAGGUUGAAGUUCAGGUAACACUGAAUGGAGGACCGAACCGACUUACGUUGAAAAGUGAGCGGAUGAACUGAGGGUAGCGGAGAAAUUCCAAUCGAACCUGGAGAUAGCUGGUUCUCUCCGAAAUAGCUUUAGGGCUAGCCUCAAGUGAUGAUUAUUGGAGGUAGAGCACUGUUUGGACGAGGGGCCCCUCUCGGGUUACCGAAUUCAGACAAACUCCGAAUGCCAAUUAAUUUAACUUGGGAGUCAGAACAUGGGUGAUAAGGUCCGUGUUCGAAAGGGAAACAGCCCAGACCACCAGCUAAGGUCCCAAAAUAUAUGUUAAGUGGAAAAGGAUGUGGCGUUGCCCAGACAACUAGGAUGUUGGCUUAGAAGCAGCCAUCAUUUAAAGAGUGCGUAAUAGCUCACUAGUCGAGUGACACUGCGCCGAAAAUGUACCGGGGCUAAACAUAUUACCGAAGCUGUGGAUUGUCCUUUGGACAAUGGUAGGAGAGCGUUCUAAGGGCGUUGAAGCAUGAUCGUAAGGACAUGUGGAGCGCUUAGAAGUGAGAAUGCCGGUGUGAGUAGCGAAAGACGGGUGAGAAUCCCGUCCACCGAUUGACUAAGGUUUCCAGAGGAAGGCUCGUCCGCUCUGGGUUAGUCGGGUCCUAAGCUGAGGCCGACAGGCGUAGGCGAUGGAUAACAGGUUGAUAUUCCUGUACCACCUAUAAUCGUUUUAAUCGAUGGGGGGACGCAGUAGGAUAGGCGAAGCGUGCGAUUGGAUUGCACGUCUAAGCAGUAAGGCUGAGUAUUAGGCAAAUCCGGUACUCGUUAAGGCUGAGCUGUGAUGGGGAGAAGACAUUGUGUCUUCGAGUCGUUGAUUUCACACUGCCGAGAAAAGCCUCUAGAUAGAAAAUAGGUGCCCGUACCGCAAACCGACACAGGUAGUCAAGAUGAGAAUUCUAAGGUGAGCGAGCGAACUCUCGUUAAGGAACUCGGCAAAAUGACCCCGUAACUUCGGGAGAAGGGGUGCUCUUUAGGGUUAACGCCCAGAAGAGCCGCAGUGAAUAGGCCCAAGCGACUGUUUAUCAAAAACACAGGUCUCUGCUAAACCGUAAGGUGAUGUAUAGGGGCUGACGCCUGCCCGGUGCUGGAAGGUUAAGAGGAGUGGUUAGCUUCUGCGAAGCUACGAAUCGAAGCCCCAGUAAACGGCGGCCGUAACUAUAACGGUCCUAAGGUAGCGAAAUUCCUUGUCGGGUAAGUUCCGACCCGCACGAAAGGCGUAACGAUUUGGGCACUGUCUCAACGAGAGACUCGGUGAAAUCAUAGUACCUGUGAAGAUGCAGGUUACCCGCGACAGGACGGAAAGACCCCGUGGAGCUUUACUGUAGCCUGAUAUUGAAAUUCGGCACAGCUUGUACAGGAUAGGUAGGAGCCUUUGAAACGUGAGCGCUAGCUUACGUGGAGGCGCUGGUGGGAUACUACCCUAGCUGUGUUGGCUUUCUAACCCGCACCACUUAUCGUGGUGGGAGACAGUGUCAGGCGGGCAGUUUGACUGGGGCGGUCGCCUCCUAAAAGGUAACGGAGGCGCUCAAAGGUUCCCUCAGAAUGGUUGGAAAUCAUUCAUAGAGUGUAAAGGCAUAAGGGAGCUUGACUGCGAGACCUACAAGUCGAGCAGGGUCGAAAGACGGACUUAGUGAUCCGGUGGUUCCGCAUGGAAGGGCCAUCGCUCAACGGAUAAAAGCUACCCCGGGGAUAACAGGCUUAUCUCCCCCAAGAGUUCACAUCGACGGGGAGGUUUGGCACCUCGAUGUCGGCUCAUCGCAUCCUGGGGCUGUAGUCGGUCCCAAGGGUUGGGCUGUUCGCCCAUUAAAGCGGUACGCGAGCUGGGUUCAGAACGUCGUGAGACAGUUCGGUCCCUAUCCGUCGUGGGCGUAGGAAAUUUGAGAGGAGCUGUCCUUAGUACGAGAGGACCGGGAUGGACAUACCUCUGGUGUACCAGUUGUCGUGCCAACGGCAUAGCUGGGUAGCUAUGUGUGGACGGGAUAAGUGCUGAAAGCAUCUAAGCAUGAAGCCCCCCUCAA
rnacentral:rRNA from 1 species